CCUACGGGUGGCAGCAGUAGGGAAUCUUUCACAAUGGGCGAAAGCCUGAUGGAGCAACGCCGCGUGCAGGAUGAAGGCCUUCGGGUUGUAAACUGCUUUUAUAAGCGAGAAAUAUGAUGGUAACUUAUGAAUAAGGAUCGGCUAACUACGUGCCAGCAGCCGCGGUCAUACGUAGGAUCCGAGCAUUAUCCGGAGUGACUGGGUGUAAAGAGUUGCGUAGGUGGCAUAAUAAGUAGCUAGUGAAAUCUGGUGGCUCAACCAUUCAGACUAUUAGCUAAACUGUUAAGCUCGAGACCGUUAGGGGUAACAGGAAUGUCUAGUGUAGGAGUGAAAUCCGUAGAUAUUAGAAGGAACACCAAUAGCGUAGGCAGGUUGCUGGGACGGUUCUGACACUAAGGCACGAAAGCGUAGGGAGCAAACGGGAUUAGAUACCCCUGUAGUC
rnacentral:rRNA from 1 species